rnacentral:misc_RNA from 1 species
GAUGAAGAACGCAGCGAAAUGCGAUAAGUAGUGUGAAUAGCAGAAUUCAGUGAAUCAUCGAAUCUUUGAACGCACAUUGCGCCCCUUGGUAUUCCAUGGGGCAUGCCUGUUCGAGCGUCAUUUGUACCUUCAAGCUCUGCUUGGUGUUGGGUGUUUGUCUCGCCUCUGCGUGUAGACUCGCCUCAAAACAAUUGGCAGCCGGCGUAUUGAUUUCGGAGCGCAGUACAUCUCGCGCUUUGCACUCAUAACGACGACGUCCAAAAGUACAUUUUUACACUCUUGACCUCGGAUCAGGUAGGGAUACCCGCUGAACUUAAGCAUAUCAAUAAGCGGAGGA